CACGGGGGGAGCAAGCGUUGUUCGGAAUCACUGGGCGUAAAGGGCGUGUAGGCGGUCAAGUAAGUGGAAUGUGAAAGCCCCCGGCUUACCCGGGGAUCUGCAUCCCAAACUGCUUGGCUUGAGUACGGGAGAGGAUAGGGGAAUUCCUGGGUGUAGCGGUUGAAAUGCGUAGAUAUCAGGAGGAACACCGGUGGCGAAGGCGCCUAUCUGGCCCGAUACUGACGCUGAGGCGCGAAAGCUAGGGGAGCAAACGGG
rnacentral:rRNA from 1 species